AACCUGAUGACGUCAGCUACGGCGAGUGAAGCGGCAAGAGCUCAAAUUUGAAAGCUGGCCCCUUCGGGGUCCGCGUUGUAAUUUGCAGAGGAUGCUUCGGGUGCAGCCCCCGUCUAAGUGCCCUGGAACGGGCCGUCAUAGAGGGUGAGAAUCCCGUCUGGGACGGGGUGUCUGCGUCCGUGUGAAGCUCCUUCGACGAGUCGAGUUGUUUGGGAAUGCAGCUCUAAAUGGGUGGUAAAUUUCAUCUAAAGCUAAAUACUGGCCGGAGACCGAUAGCGCACAAGUAGAGUGAUCGAAAGAUGAAAAGCACUUUGAAAAGAGAGUUAAACAGCACGUGAAAUUGUUGAAAGGGAAGCGUUUGCGACCAGACUCGCCCGCGGGGUUCAGCCGGCAUUCGUGCCGGUGUACUUCCCCGUGGGCGGGCCAGCGUCGGUUUGGGCGGCCGGUCAAAGGCCCUCGGAAUGUAUCACCUCUCGGGGUGUCUUAUAGCCGAGGGUGCAAUGCGGCCUGCCUGGACCGAGGAACGCGCUUCGGCUCGGACGCUGGCGUAAUGGUCGUAAAUGACCCGUCUUGA
rnacentral:rRNA from 1 species